rnacentral:rRNA from 1 species
UACGUAGGGGGCAAGCGUUGUCCGGAUUUAUUGGGCGUAAAGAGCGUGUAGGCGGCCAGGUAGGUCAGCUGUGAAAACUCGAGGCUCAACCUCGAGACGUCGGUUGAAACCAUCUGGCUAGAGUCCGGAAGAGGAGAGUGGAAUUCCUGGUGUAGCGGUGAAAUGCGCAGAUAUCAGGAAGAACACCCGUGGCGAAGGCGGCUCUCUGGGACGGUACUGACGCUGAGACGCGAAAGCGUGGGGAGCGAACGGG